rnacentral:misc_RNA from 1 species
UCCUCCUUACAGAGGCAGUUUGUUCCGAGUUCCCGGCAUUACCCGCUGGUAACAGAACAUGAGGGUUGCGCUCGUUGCGGGACUUAACCCAACAUUUCACAACACGAGCUGACGACAGCCAUGCACCACCUGUGAUGCACCUUCGAAAGCGGCUCCGUUUCGGGAGCUUGCAGCAUCAUGUCAAGCCCUGGUAAGGUUCUUCGCGUUGCAUCGAAUUAAGCCACAUGCUCCACCGCUUGUGCGGGCCCCCGCCAAUUCCUUUGAGUUUCAACCUUGCGGCCGUAGUCCCCAGGCGGUUCACUUAAUGCGUUAGCUGCGGCACCGAGAAACCCCGACACCUAGUGAACAUCGUUUAGGGCCAAGAAUAC